GGGGGUAUAGCUCAGCUGGGAGAGCAGCAGACUGAAGCUAUAGUAUCGAACUGGCUCUUCUGAAGGUCCCGCGUUCGAUCCGCGGUACCCCCA